AUGCUAAUUUCAGCACCACAUAUGUUAAAAUUGGAAUGAUACAGAGAAGAUUAGCAUGGCCCCUGCGCAAGAAUGACAUGCAAAUUCAUGAAGCUUUUCCACAUUCUU
rnacentral:snRNA from 1 species